rnacentral:rRNA from 1 species
GAUGAACGCUAGCUACAGGCUUAACACAUGCAAGUCGAGGGGUAACGAGAGGGAAGCUUGCUUCCCUUGUCGACGACCGGCGCACGGGUGAGUAACGCGUAUCCAACCUGCCCCCAACUAGGGAAUAACCUUGCGAAAGUAAGACUAAUACCCUAUAAUUUCCUCAGAUGUCAUCUGACGAGGAAUAAAGAUUUAUCGGUUGUGGAUGGGGAUGCGUCUGAUUAGCUUGUUGGCGGGGUAACGGCCCACCAAGGCAACGAUCAGUAGGGGUUCUGAGAGGAAGGUCCCCCACAAUGGAACUGAGACACGGUCCAAACUCCUACGGGAGGCAGCAGUGAGGAAUAUUGGUCAAUGGGCGGAAGCCUGAACCAGCCAAGUAGCGUGCAGGAUGACGGCCCUAUGGGUUGUAAACUGCUUUUAUACAGGAAUAAAGUUAGCCACGUGUGGUUAUUUGUAGGUACUGUAUGAAUAAGGACCGGCUAAUUCCGUGCCAGCCGCCGCGGUAA